UACGGGGGGAGCAAGCGUUGUUCGGAUUUACUGGGCGUAAAGGGCGCGUAGGCGGUCAGCACAAGUCAGUUGUGAAAUCUCCGGGCUUAACUCGGAAAGGUCAACUGAUACUGUGCGACUAGAGUGCAGAAGGGGCAACUGGAAUUCUCGGUGUAGCGGUGAAAUGCGUAGAUAUCAGGAGGAACACCGAUGGCGAAGGCAGGUCUCUGGGCUGACACUGACGCUCAUGCACGAAAGCGUGGGGAGCAACAGG
rnacentral:rRNA from 1 species